UAUUGCUAGUUGAAAACUUUAACCAAUACCCCGCCAUGGGGACGUGAAAUACCGUCCACUACGGCAAUUUUUGCAAGCCCGAGAGGGC
rnacentral:snRNA from 1 species